CGCGCGCGGCAGGAAAAGGAAGAGGUGAAAAAAAUAACAGACACAAAAAAGCUGGCUCUCUCCUGCUUUAAAGAAAGACUAAAAGACUUUAGAGUGAGUGAUGAAGGAGACGUGAUGGAUGAGAGGGAAGUUGCAAUCUUGGCAGCUGCUUCCUAUGAAAAAUAAAAUAGAGAGACAGACAUAAGCUGCCAACAAAGUGAGACAGAACAAAGAUGUCAUUAUAGAAGAGUAACAGGGGGCCGACGGGCAGCGUGGACACCUAAAUUUGUGAAUGCGAUGACUAGAGAAUGAGGCAACAAAGAAUCAUACAGUAAGUGCAGUUUCACAGCUGAGGUCUCUGCAAGGUGAUUUACUGGCUGUGUAUUGUU